GGUAGAGAAAGCAGGGGCGGCUGCAGGAGCAGCAGCAACCGUAGCAGCCACAGCACAGACUCCAGGGUUGGGAAUCAUUUCUACCUCUACCUCUGUGGCAACAGAAGCGCCAAGUCACAAGGAGGGUGAGGAUGUAGUCCAGAGGCUGCUGGGCUAUGUCACUCUGAAGGUGGUGAGUAACAUGCUAUUCACUGGGGACAUCAACCAAGUAAAGAUUCUAGGUCCUGACAGAGGGGUGUGUGUGUGUGUGUGUGUGUGUGUGUGUGUGUGUGUGUGAGAGAGAGAGAUGGGGGGGGAGUAGGGGCAGGGGAGCACUUACAUUUUCAUAGUGCAGAAAUACAUACGUAUCUGUGAAUGCAGUAAAUAAAUAGACCACAGUGUUUUUUAGCAAGAGAGUCAGAGCGGCCAUGUGUUCAGAGAGACGCAACCCUAAAAUUACAGACCUACUAAAGGGUAGGUCUUGAACCUAGGGUCCAGGUCCCCAGCACAAGAUUCUUUUAUUCUACGUGGGGACAUGAGAGGUGCCCUUGGGCCGAGUGACUCGAUACCCCUGGGCAUGAAGCCAAAGACUGCAGCUACAGUGUGAAUGUCACUAGGACACAUCUCUCUGCUUGCAGUGAAUAUAGGGAGCUAUUUUGAACUAAUGGCAACUUGGGGCACAACAGCAAACAGUCUGCAUUGGCCAUAAAUCUCCCUGCCCUCGUGGCUAUCUUCUCCCUUGAGGCUUUUCUCUGGGUCACAAUAUCAAGUACUUCCAUCACCUGAAGAGCUUGUCAUAACAACAGUGCCUCGCUUGGUCUGUGGACUGCAUGUUUGCUGAACGUCAUCCAUAUACCAGGGGUGAUGCAAGUGACCCCUGGCUUUGCAGUUUCGUUUAUUUCCUGGAUCUGCCAGAGAUCUCACAAGCUGACUGAGAUGCGCUCGCCAACCCCAAGGAGGCUGACAUCUGAUAUCUCAGUGCUCACCCCAGCACAGCAUCCUGAGGCCUUACUCCCCCAUUAUCUAUGCCUGACAAGUCAGGAAGACUGAGGCUGGAUAAGGUUAAAAAGUGUGAGCUGCUUAAGCCCCUUCUAUAAAGUCCUAUUUUCCUUAAUAAUCUAGUUCUUAAAAAGUUAAUUUCUAUGUUUCCUACAACCAGUAUGAUCUUUGCCUCUAGAAUGGAAAAGAAUAUUCUCUCUUCAAUUAAAAAAAAA
rnacentral:lncRNA from 1 species